rnacentral:rRNA from 1 species
CUUGAUGCGCAGCUAUACAUGCAGUCGAGCGGACCUCUUCGGAGGUCAGCGGCGGACGGGUGAGUAACACGUGGGCAACCUGCCUGUAAGACUGGGAUAACUCCGGGAAACCGGAGCUAAUACCGGAUAACCUUUUGAACCGCAUGGUUCAAAAUUGAAAGACGGUUAUGCUGUCACUUACAGAUGGGCCCGCGGCGCAUUAGCUAGUUGGUGAGGUAAUGGCUCACCAAGGCGACGAUGCGUAGCCGACCUGAGAGGGUGAUCGGCCACACUGGGACUGAGACACGGCCCAGACUCCUACGGGAGGCAGCAGUAGGGAAUCUUCCGCAAUGGACGAAAGUCUGACGGAGCAACGCCGCGUGAGUGAUGAAGGUUUUCGGAUCGUAAAGCUCUGUUGUCAGGGAAGAACAAGUGCGGGAGUCACUGCCCGUGCCUUGACGGUACCUGACCAGAAAGCCACGGCUAACUACGUGCCAGCAGCCGCGGUAAUACGUAGGUGGCAAGCGUUGUCCGGAAUUAUUGGGCGUAAAGCGCGCGCAGGCGGUCUUUUAAGUCUGAUGUGAAAGCCCCCGGCUCAACCGGGGAGGGUCAUUGGAAACUGGAGGACUUGAGUGCAGAAGAGGAGAGUGGAAUUCCACGUGUAGCGGUGAAAUGCGUAGAGAUGUGGAGGAACACCAGUGGCGAAGGCGACUCUCUGGUCUGUAACUGACGCUGAGG